UACGUAGGGUGCGAGCGUUAAUCGGAAUUACUGGGCGUAAAGCGUGCGCAGGCGGUUUUGUAAGCCAGAUGUGAAAUCCCCGGGCUUAACCUGGGAAUGGCAUUUGGGACUGCAAGGCUUGAGUGCGGCAGAGGAGACUGGAAUUCCCGGUGUAGUAGUGAAAUGCGUAGAUAUCGGGAGGAAUACCGAUGGCGAAGGCAGGUCUCUGGGCUGACACUGACGCUCAUGCACGAAAGCGUGGGGAGCAAACAGG
rnacentral:rRNA from 1 species